GGGAAAUGUUGUUUACAGGUGAAUAAAGGAAGGGAAAUGUUGUUUACAGGUGAAUAAAGGAAGGGAAAUGUUGUUUACAGGUGAAUAAAAGAAGGGAAGUGUUGUUUACAGGUGAAUAAAGGGAUUGUUUACAGGUGAAUAAAAGAAGGGAAGUGUUGUUUACAGGUGAAUAAAAGAAGGGAAGUGUUGUUUACAGGUGAAUAAAAGAAGGGAAGUGUUGUUUACAGGUGAAUAAAGGAAGGGAAAUGUUGUUUACAGGUGAAUAAAAGAAGGGAAGUGUUGUUUACAGGUGAAUAAAAGAAGGGAAGUGUUGUUUACAGGUGAAUAAAAGAAGGGAAGUGUUGUUUACAGGUGAAUAAAAGAAGGGAAGUGUUGUUUACAGGUGAAUAAAAGAAGGGAAGUGUUGUUUACAGGUGAAUAAAAGAAGGGAAGUGUUGUUUACAGGUGAAUAAAAGAAGGGAAGUGUUGUUUACAGGUGAAUAAAGUGUUGUUUACAGGUGAAUAAAGUGUUUACAGGUGAAUAAAGGAAGGGAA